rnacentral:rRNA from 1 species
UACGAAGGGGGCUAGCGUUGUUCGGAAUUACUGGGCGUAAAGGGCGCGUAGGCGGCCGAUCAAGUCGGGGGUGAAAGCCUGUGGCUUAACCACAGAAUGGCCUUCGAUACUGUUUGGCUUGAGACCGGAAGAGGUUAGUGGAACUGCGAGUGUAGAGGUGAAAUUCGUAGAUAUUCGCAAGAACACCAGUGGCGAAGGCGGCUGACUGGUCCGGUUCUGACGCUGAGGCGCGAAAGCGUGGGGAGCAAACAGG